AUUGAACGCUGGCGGCAGGCCUAACACAUGCAAGUCGAGCGGAGCGGCGGACGGGUGAGUAAUGCCUAGGAAUCUGCCUGGUAGUGGGGGAUAACGUCCGGAAACGGGCGCUAAUACCGCAUACUAUCAGAUGAGCCUAGGUCGGAUUAGCUAGUUGGUGGGGUAAAGGCCUACCAAGGCGACGAUCCGGAACUGGUCUGAGAGGAUGAUCAGUCAGACUGGAAAUGAGACACGGGCGAGACUCGUACGGGAGGAAGAAGUGGGGAAUAUUGGGCAAUGGGCGAAAGCCUGAACUAGCGAGGCCGCGUGUGUGAAGAAGGUGUUCGGAUUGUGAAGCACUAUAAGUUGGGAGGCGGUAUCAAAAGAAUAAGCACAGGCUAACUACGUGCCAGCAGCCGCGGUAAUUC
rnacentral:rRNA from 1 species